rfam:Ktedonobacter sp. 13_1_20CM_3_54_15 13_1_20cm_3_scaffold_16402, whole genome shotgun sequence.
GCGCCCAUAGCUCAGUGGAUAGAGCAACGGUCUUCUAAACCGUUGGCCGCAGGUUCGAAUCCUGCUGGGCGCG